CAUGCAUGUAAUUUCCUGAUUCAGGGUCAACAACAUGGCGCUGUCCAUGGACUAUGUCAUCAAAUGGUUUGAGUGAUAUUUUCCUACGAGUGCCAUCUAUUUCUAUGAUACUUACUUAAUAUUGUACAAGAGCUUAUGCAGAGGCAUUAGAUCGUUAUUCAAUUGAUUGUAUUCGUCGUUUUUUUUUCCAUCGUCAAAGACUAUUGAUCAAGUGUCCACCUAUUGAUCAAACGUGUGGACUCGCAGUCGAGAGAGGAUGAGAUGGUUUCCAGAGCUGUUUCCCCAGUGUACUGGUGGGGCUGCAGUUUAUGGGAAGUGUGUGACUACUUCCACCACAGGCAGACAGGAGCUGAGAAAGGACCUGUGUGUUAGUUUGAUGCUCUGAAGGCUUGCUUUGUUACAGCUGCCAAGAAGUAUCUUCAACACAACCAGGCAAUGGACCCAAAGUCCCCAGCCCCCCCCCCAUGUUGUAUCUUCAACACAACCAGGUAAUGGACCCAAUGUCCCCUCCAUGUUGUAUCUUCAACAUAACCAGGCAAUGGACCCAAUGUCCCCCCCCCCAUGUUGUAUCUUCAACAUAACCAGGCAAUGGACCCAAUGCCCCCUCCAUGUUGUAUCUUCAACAUAACCAGGCAAUGGACCCAAUGUGCCCCCCAUGUUGUAUCUUCAACACAACCAGGCAAUGGACCCAAUGUCCCCCCCCCCAUGUUGUAUCUUCAACACAACCAGGCAAUGGACCCAAUGUCCCCCCCAUGUUGUAUCUUCAACACAACCAGGCAAUGGACCCAAUGUCCCCCCCCCCAUGUUGUAUCUUCAACACAACCAGGCAAUGGACCCAAUGUCCCCUCCAUGUUCCAUGAACAUCAUAUAGUACUGUAUCAGUAAUGUGCUGGCAGGUGCUGAAAGACUUCUUGUCUCACCUGUUUAAAAUUGGUUCCAGGGGUAAUGCCAGGACAGUGUUUGGACAACACUUUUCAAUAAUGCUUUAAUGCAUUAAUGCAUUAAUGCUGUGUACUAACAUGGAGCCCACUACCGAAGACUUGUAGGACUGUUUCUUUAUAAUAUAAUGUCCUUUAUGGCUCAGCUGGUAGAGCAUGGCGCUUGCAACGGCAGGAUUGUGGGUUUGUGUCCUGGGGUCACUGAUACGUAAAAGGAUGACUCAGUCAAUUUGGAUAAAAGCGUCUGCUAAAUGGAAUAUUGUUAUGUAAAUACAUGUGUAUGGGGUCGCUUUUGUUCAUGUACACAACACACAUUUUGACAACUGAAUAUUUUGCACAUUUUCAAAAAAUACAAUGAGUUGAAAGCUUUACAGAAAAAUAAACUCUUAUUCUAAAGAA